rnacentral:rRNA from 1 species
ACGGAAGGCAGCAGUGGGGAAUAUUGGGCAAUGGGGGAAACCCUGACCCAGCAACGCCGCGUGAAGGAAGAAGGCCUUCGGGUUGUAAACUUCUUUUACCAGGGACGAAGAAAGUGACGGUACCUGGAGAAAAAGCAACGGCUAACUACGUGCCAGCAGCCGCGGUAAUACGUAGGUUGCAAGCGUUGUCCGGAUUUACUGGGUGUAAAGGGCGUGUAGGCGGAGCUGCAAGUCAGAUGUGAAAUCCCGGGGCUCAACCCCGGAACUGCAUUUGAAACUGUAGCCCUUGAGUAUCGGAGAGGCAAGCGGAAUUCCUGGUGUAGCGGUGAAGUGCGUAGAUAUUAGGAGGAACACCAGUGGCGAGGGCGGCUUGCUGGACGACAACUGACGCUGAGGCGCGAAAGCGUGGGGAGCAAACAG